GGCACAGGUGCGGGCACAGACGCUCCGCGGGGACAGGAGGGUUUUUUUUUUUAAUUCCCUACCCCUGUGCGCUCCGCAGCCGUGUGGCUGUGGAUCCCCGAGCUGCACCGCUGCCAUGUCUCCCCUCUGAUGAAGAGCCGCGGGGGCACGGCACGGCACGGCGCGGCGCUCGGCUGUCAGCUGGGCAGGUACUCGGGGAGCGAAAGUGAACGCUGAUGUGGUUACACGGACACAAAAAAAUAUUCUUUGUUUUGGGGUGGGGAAGAGGCGUUAGGGGUUUUUUAUGUUCAGGAGCUCUGGGGAACGAUUCCUUUGGAAACCAUCAGCGAAAGUGCAUGUUGUUGCAGGGACUUGAGGAGAAAACCUCUCCAAAAUCCUGGUCAGCACAGAGGGAUGCACUGGAGCUUCAAAAGAGGUAUCUGUCUCAUGCAUCUUAAGGAAGAAAAUACUCUGGCUAGCAGAAGGGUCAGAGCCAGCUGGUUGUAAGUGACACUGUCUGCAUCAGUUCUCAACCCGUAGGUAGUUCAGCAGUUGAGGCUGGCAGACCCUUUUCUGUUUCAGCCCAGAUUAUUUUAGAUGCAAGAGGAGCAUGGGUUUCCUCCACCUGAUCUCUUCUCAAUAGAACAUAAGGGAAGGCUGGAUUUGGAUGUAUAUUGCACUUGAUAAAAAGACUGAAAAUUUCCCUGCAUAAAUUUAACUGUCUAAAUAGUAUUGACCAGGCAGGACGAGCACAGAGGUCCCAGUCAUAUCUCCUCUGACCUUACCGUUUACUACUGUGAUUAAAACAGAAUACAUCAUACCCAUGGACUUAGAAAUAAGAGCAAACCUCCUACAGAGAUCCAGCUAGCAUUUAGUUUCCUCAUUCCCUCCCUCCUGAUAUCUCGUGUAGUGCCAUUUCCAAUGCCUACCUCCAGCUGGUUUUAACUGAAGCCAUUUAUCUUUUUAUGUUUAUGGAUUAAUAAAGGUCAUUUCACAACUAUCUGCAGAAAGUAGCACCACAAAGGCUCUGUCCAGCCUGCCAAAGCCCAUUACAGACCCCUGUGCAGCCUCUGAGCUCCUCUCCUUAGGACAACCAGGAUGCCAGAAGCACUUCCAUAUCAGGCAUGCCAG
rnacentral:lncRNA from 13 species